UAGGUCCCAAGGGUUGGGCUGUUCGCCCAUUAAAGCGGUACGCGAGCUGGGUUCAGAACGUCGUGAGACAGUUCGGUCCCUAUCCGGCGCGGGCGUAGGAUAUUUGAGAGGAGCUGACCUUAGUACGAGAGGACCGGGUUGGACUGACCUCUGGUGUACCGGUUGCACUGCCAAGUGCAUGGCCGGGUAGCCAAGUCGGGAAGGGAUAAACGCUGAAGGCAUCUAAGCGUGAAGCCCCCCUCAAGAUGAGAUAUCCCAUAGC
rnacentral:rRNA from 1 species